rnacentral:rRNA from 1 species
AUUGAACGCUGGCGGCAUGCCUUACACAUGCAAGUCGAACGGUAACGGGCCUUCGGGUGCCGACGAGUGGCGAACGGGUGAGUAAUACAUCGGAACGUGCCCGAUCGUGGGGGAUAACGAGGCGAAAGCUUUGCUAAUACCGCAUACGAUCUACGGAUGAAAGCAGGGGACCGCAAGGCCUUGCGCGGACGGAGCGGCCGAUGGCAGAUUAGGUAGUUGGUGGGAUAAAAGCUUACCAAGCCGACGAUCUGUAGCUGGUCUGAGAGGAUGAUAAGCCACACUGGGACUGCGACACGGCCCAGACUCCUACGGGAGGCAGCAGUGGGGAAUUUUGGACAAAGGGCGCAAGCCUGAUCCAGCCAUGCCGCGUGCAGGAUGAAGGCCUUCGGGUUGUAAACUGCUUUUGUACGGAACGAAAAGCCUUCUUUUAAUACAGGAGGGUCAUGACGGUACCGGAAGAAUAAGCACCGGCUAACUACGUG